UUCUGUUCUCAGGGCGGGGUGAAAGUCCCCACCGGCGGUAAGGGCCUCGGCCCGAGCCCGCGAGCGCCUUCCGCGCGCCCAUGGGCGGGGAGGGGUCAGCAGAUCCGGUGCGAUGCCGGAGCCGACGGUCAUAGUCCGGAUGAAAGGAAUGAUC
rnacentral:ncRNA from 1 species